rnacentral:rRNA from 1 species
UGCCAGACUCCUACGGGAGGCAGCAGUGGGGAAUAUUGCACAAUGGGGGAAACCCUGAUGCAGCGACGCCGCGUGAGCGAUGAAGUAUUUCGGUAUGUAAAGCUCUAUCAGCAGGGAAGAAGAUGACGGUACCUGACUAAGAAGCCCCGGCUAACUACGUGCCAGCAGCCGCGGUAAUACGUAGGGGGCAAGCGUUAUCCGGAUUUACUGGGUGUAAAGGGAGCGUAGACGGCGGCGCAAGCCAGAUGUGAAAGCCCGGGGCUCAACUCCGGGACUGCAUUUGGAACUGUGUGGCUGGAGUGUCGGAGAGGCAGGCGGAAUUCCUAGUGUAGCGGUGAAAUGCGUAGAUAUUAGGAGGAACACCAGUGGCGAAGGCGGCCUGCUGGACGAUGACUGACGUUGAGGCUCGAAAGCGUGGGGAGCAAACAGGAUUAGAUACCCUGGUA